rnacentral:rRNA from 1 species
AUUGAACGCUGGCGGCAUGCUUUACACAUGCAAGUCGAACGGAUUAGAGGGGCUUGCUCCUCUAGUUAGUGGCGAACGGGUGAGUAAUGCAUCGGAACGUACCGUGUAGUGGGGAUAACCCGGCGAAAGUCGGAUUAAUACCGCAUACGAUCUAAGGAUGAAAGCGGAGGAUCGCAAGACCUCGCGCUAUACGAGCGGCCGAUGUCGGAUUAGCUAGUUGGUAGGGUAAAGGCCUACCAAGGCAACGAUCCGUAGCGGGUCUGAGAGGAUGAUCCGCCACACUGGGACUGAGACACGGCCCAGACUCCUACGGGAGGCAGCAGUGGGGAAUUUUGGACAAUGGACGCAAGUCUGAUCCAGCCAUGCCGCGUGAGUGAAGAAGGCCUUAGGGUUGUAAAGCUCUUUUACCCGAGAUGAUAAUGACAGUAUCGGGAGAAUAAGCUCCGCUAACUCCGUGCCAGCAGCCGCGGUAAU